UUCUCAUCAUCUAGGAAAAAUUAUGUCCGUGACGACCGUGAUCCUAGUUGCAUAAUACCACGACACCCGCUUCCGCGACAACCACUCCAUGACCGUUAAGCGAGUCGCGACCGUGAUUUAAUUCCUUAUUCCUCUCUUCUUCCUCGGAAAAAGGCACUCCCGUGAAGCUUGCAAUCUUCUUCAAAGUCCCGACGGGGUCAGCCUUCAUGUCCUCGUACCUGAGGAACAACGCCUUAUCGGGUGUCUUCAGGCUCGCGUUCAAACCGCCCAGCAUAUGCUCCCAAAACGGCCCGCAAUCAUCGAUUCCUCUAUAUAGGGAAUCAAACAUCUCCUCGAUAGGCGAAUCCCCCCGUCACGUACCCAGGUUGCGCGUUGCCCAGAAAGUGCCGCAAUGAUACGUGCUUAAUGGUAUAUAUAGGAUGUGUGUUUUUGAUAUUUCCCAACAACUUGAGUCGUAGUGAUCCCGUUCGGAUGCCAGCUUCAGCUGUCGGGACCUCUGAUGGUAAUAAAAAUGGGGCGGCGUCUUCGUCUUUGGCUUAUCACUCCACUACCAGUGCCUCUCCCUACCUUUGCAUUAAGGAAUUGUCUCCCUCAAUUAGAUUUGGACCGCUGCUACAGUAUUCCCCUCCAAUGAUCCGACUGCUUUUGUUUUUCUGGUAUGUUAGCUUGGGAUUCCUUGAGCCUACCUCGGUUGUUUUGUCUGUCUUGUUAACAGAGUGGAGUGGCAGAGGCUAGUUUGAUCGGCAGCCCGUCGUCUUCCUCGGCACGUUCAUAGUUCUGUAUCGACUGAGAAUGCUAAGUUAUUCUUGGUUUGACUACUGACAUGGUCACUGGUUUGAACCGAUCAAGGUUUCUCAGCGGUUUUUGGUUUGACCCUGUCGGCUUGGUGGACUGCCUUCCCUGCUUGCCAGAUUGGUCGACAGCUUGGUGUCCUCCUCGACUUGCCGGAUUGGUCGACAUCCUUCCCCAGCCUUGGCUCUGAUUCUACUUGUCGGAGACGCUUCGAACUGACGAGACCAUGCCUGCCAUCGAAGCCCCGCUGCGCCACCUCCAACAAUAACAUCUCAUUGACGACAAUAUGAGUGUACACGAGAGUCUAGUUGGAGCAGUAGGUUCUCUGGCGGUUCAAUCACCAAUUGUUCCAUUGCACCAGUUAUUUUAAUAUUGUCCUCGAGAUCCCAUGAAUACAACAUCAUUUUGAGCAA